rnacentral:tRNA from 1 species
CAGGAAAUAGUUUAGUUUAGAAUUCUGGCUUUGGGAGCCAGGGGUGGGAGUUAAAAUCUCCUUUUUCUGG